UUAAAAACUGUAUCAAGAUGUUGAAAUGCACUUUGUAACUCAGUUCAUAUGAGUGCCUUAUAUAAGUAGGCAUUGGUCUAAAAACAAAAAAGAAAGGAAAUUCAAAUGAGCACCAAACUGCCUAUUCCACCUAUGCUCUAGCAAGGUUUUCCAGCACUGUUAUAUAUAAUGUAGUUCGGUCCAGAGAGAAAGAUAAGACAGGACCAUGUUAGAGAACAAUCAGGUCAGAGAGGGCCAGGAAACCUGAGGCCUGGGUAGUGGUGUAAGGAGGACAGGAUAAUAGGCAUGACUUUCCUUCAGGACAACCAGAGAAGCAGAGCAGGGUGUCAAGUGAGGGGUUGCAUCCAAAAUGGAACACUAUGGCCUAUAUAGUGCGCUACUCGGGCCUUGGUCAAAAGUAGUGCCCUAGAUAGGGAAUAGUGUGCCAUUUUUGGAUUCAGCCAGGGUAAGGUAAGGUGUUACUGGGAGAGCUUACAUGGUGCUGGGUUACACACACUUACAAUCAGAUCAGUUCCUUCUCUGGUAACUGUCUGGCUGCACUCUGUGUAUCAAUCAAUCACACAGGGCUGUGCAUUGUGAAUCCCUCUCACACCUGUUGUUUGACAUGUAUCAGUCUUUGUUGUGACCAAUAUGGCAGCUAUCAAAGAGGCUAGAUGAAAGGCUUUCUGUCCUCUCCCUCCAAACACACAUGACCACUGACCGUCACAGCUGCACAUUCUAACAUAUACACACAGUAUGCAGAAUACAUAUUCACUGACUAUGAAUCUGAUUGUAGGCAUAUGUGUUCCUUUGGGUAAAAGGCUUAGCUUAAGGACCAUAUUAUGAUAUUGGUCUGUGUUCUGUUGCUUUAAGUCCAGUGAAUCAUGUACCAGUUAGUCUGGUUACACUUUUUGCCGAUUGCUUCCACACCGAUAGUGAAUGCUUCGACAAAAGCAUCAAAACCUUCACUUUUGUAACCAUGUCGUAAACAAAGGCACGAAAAGUACAACACACAUUUUCUGCUUUGCACUUUGUUUGCAAUUCUGCAACACACUUCUGCAACACUACACACUGUUUCUUACGUGAGACACUUUGUUCAAGAAGGAAAUCUCUUGCAGUCAUUGGGAAAACACUUCUAUUCAAAAUGCAAAACAUUCCUGAAAUUGGCAACACCCACACACACACAUGAAAACACAUACAGUAAUUGAACACCAAUUAGUCUGAGCCUUACCACUACAAAUAGACCUCAGGUAAGAUCACUUCUUUUGUCAGAACUUAACAAACGUGGAGGCAGUGGGAGCGAGAGGAAGAGGUAGAGGAAGAGAGAGAGGACGAGGACAAGAACAAAGAAGGGGACCAGGCAAUAGACGGAGACAUAUUUCUGACGACAUUAGGGCCACUUUGGUGGACCAUGUCAUAAAUCAUGGCCUGACGAUGAGGGAGGCAGAGAGUCCAGCCCAACCUGAGUCCAGCCCAACCUGAGUCGCUACACGGUAGCAUCCAGAAUACGGACAUUUAGACUGGAGAACAGAACUGCCAGACGACCUCCUGAGGGUGGAAGGCAACGUCUGUUCACCAUGAACAGGAACUGGCCGUUGUCAAUCUAGUGUUGGCAAACAACAACAUCCGCCUACAUCAACUACGAGAGCAAAUCAUUGCAGAUCACACAACCUUCCAUAAUAUCAACCGUAAUAAUAUCAACCAUAAUAUCAGUAGGUCGACACUCUGCCACAUCUUGCGUCAACACCAACUUACGAUGAAGCAGCUGUCCAGGUUUCCAUUUGAGAGGAACAGCGUUCGAUGUCCAGGGUUCUAUUUGAGAGGAACAGCGUUCGAUGGCCAGGGUUCCAUUUGAGAGGAACAGCGUUCGAUGUCCAGGGUUCUAUUUGAGAGGAACAGUGUUCGAUGUCCAGGGUUCUAUUUGAGAGGAACAGCGUUCGAUGUCCAGGGUUCUAUUUGAGAGGAACAGCGUUCCAUGUCCAGGGUUCUAUUUGAGAGGAACAGCGUUCGAUGUCCAGGGUUCUAUUUGAGAGGAACAGCGUUCCAUGUCCAGGGUUCUAUUUGAGAGGAACAGCGUUCGAUGUCCAGGGUUCUAUUUGAGAGGAACAGCGUUCCAUGUCCAGGGUUCUAUUUGAGAGGAACAGCGUUCGAUGUCCAGGGUUCUAUUUGAGAGGAACAGCGUUUGAUGUCCAGGGUUCCAUUUGAGAGGAACAGCGUUCGAUGUCCAGGGUUCUAUUUGAGAGGAACAGCGUUCGAUGUCCAGGGUUCUAUUUGAGAGGAACAGCGUUCGAUGUCCAGGGUUCUAUUUGAGAGGAACAGUGUUCGAUGUCCAGGGUUCUAUUUGAGAGGAACAGCGUUCGAUGUCCAGGGUUCCAUUUGAGAGGAACAGCGUUCGAUGUCCAGGGUUCUAUUUGAGAGGAACAGCGUUCGAUGUCCAGGGUUCUAUUUGAGAGGAACAGCGUUCGAUGUCCAGGGUUCUAUUUGAGAGGAACAGCGUUCGAUGUCCAGGGUUCUAUUUGAGAGGAACAGCGUUCGAUGUCCAGGGUUCUAUUUGAGAGGAACAGCGUUCGAUGUCCAGGGUUCUAUUUGAGAGGAACAGCGUUAGAGUCAAAGACCUUCGCUAAGACUAUGUGCAAAGAGUCCUGGACUUUGAUGCAGCUGCACAGCCUCAUGAGUUCAUUUCCAUUGAUGAAGCUGGAUUCAAUCUAGCUAAAACCAGGCGUCGGGGCCGACAUGUUAUAGGACAAGGGGCCGACAUGUUAUAGGACAAAGAGCCAUUGUGAAUGUCCCUGGGCAGCAGGGGGGAAAUAUCACCUUGUGUGCCGCCAUUAGUCUGCAAGGCGUUCUCCAUCACCAUGGCACCCUAGGUCCCUACAAUACUGCAACACAUAAUGGAUGCACUACCUAAUGCAGUUGUACAGGACGGACCAGAGCAGCCCAGGUUUGUUGUCAUCUGGGAUAAUGUUGGUUUCCCACGAGCUGCUCUGAUCAGGGACUGGUUCACCAACCACAAUAACGUUACAGUUGUACAGGACGGGCCAGAGCAGCCCAGGUUUGUGGUCAUCUGGGAUAAUGUUGGUUUCCAACGGGCUGCUCUGGUCAGGGACGGGUUCACCAACCACAAUAACGUUACAGUUGUACAGGACGGACCAGAGCAGCACAGGUUUGUGGUCAUCUGGGAUAAUGUUGGUUUCCAACGAGCUGCUCUGGUCAGGGACUGGUUCACCAACCACAAUAACGUUACAGUUGUAUACUUGCCUCCUUACUCCCCAUUUCUCAAUCUGAUUGAAUAAUAAUUUUGGGCUUGGAGUUGGAAAGUGUAUGACCGCCAACCACAUGCUCGCCUGCCUCUUUUGCAAGCAAUGGAAGAGGCAUGCGGAGACAUUGAGGUAGGGUCAGUCCAGGGUUGGAUACGGCAAGGUAAUAUUUUCCCCGUUGCCUAGCCAGGGAUGACAUUGCUUGUGAUGUGGCCAGACCAUAACAAGGCGGGAUCCAUAAACCACCCACCUCAUCCCUUACAAUACUAUUUGUUUACCCUUGCAAUGUAAUUUUACUGUAAUAAUUUUUUGUUAAUGUGAGUUUACAGUAGCAUAUUGUAUUGAUUACUGUACUGUAAUUCUACUUUUCUUUGUGGUUUUGUUGUUGUAAAAACUUGCAAUGGCAAAAAAAUAAGCUGUAUAUUUUUUUUCCUGAAGCCUUUUUAUUUUUGUGUUCAUUGAAAUGUGAGUAGAUGUACUGUACUGGAACAAUCUUCACAUUGAAAUGUGAGUAGAUGUACUGUACUGGAACUAUCUUCACAUUGAACUGUGAGUAGAUGUACUGUACUGGAACUAUCUUCACAUUGAAAUGUGAGUAGAUGUACUGGAACUAUCUUCACAUUGAAAUGUGAGUAGAUGUACUGUACUGGAACUAUCUUCACAUUGAACUGUGAGUAGAUGUACUGUACUGGAACUAUCUUCACAUUGAAAUGUGAGUAGAUGUACUGGAACUAUCUUCACAUUGAAAUGUGAGUAGAUGUACUGUACUGGAACUAUCUUCACAUUGAAAUGUGAGUAGAUGUACUGGAACUAUCUUCACAUUGAAAUGUGAGUAGAUGUACUGUACUGGAACAAUCUUCACAUUGAAAUGUGAGUAGAUGUACUGGAACAAUCUUCACAUUGAAAUGUGAGUAGAUGUACUGUACUGGAACAAUCUUCACAUUGAAAUGUGAGUAGAUGUACUGUACUGGAACAAUCUUCACAUUGAAAUGUGAGUAGAUGUACUGUACUGGAACUAUCUUCACAUUGAACUGUGAGUAGAUGUACUGUACUGGAACUAUCUUCACAUUGAAAUGUGAGUAGAUGUACUGUACUGGAACAAUCUUCACAUUGAAAUGUGAGUAGAUGUACUGUACUGGAACUAUCUUCACAUUGAAAUGUGAGUAGAUGUACUGGAACUAUCUUCACAUUGAACUGUGAGUAGAUGUACUGUACUGGAACUAUCUUCACAUUGAACUGUGAGUAGAUGUACUGUACUGGAACUAUCUUCACAUUGAAAUGUGAGUAGAUGUACUGUACUGGAACAAUCUGUCACAGAACCCUGUAUGAGAAAAUUAAAAAGGUAUACAAAGUACUAAAGACAGACAGUGUUUUGUAUAAAAUAUAUCAGUGUGUUGCUGCUUGAAAGAGUAAUUCAAAUGGUGCAUGUGUGUAUCAUUUUGUUGCAAAAAUGCCAUUUUGAAAAAGGAUUGUUAGGUUUUGAUUGCAGAGUUUCAUUUUGACAUAGAAGUGAGAUGUUUAGUGAGUGUGUGAGUGUUGUCUUAUCGGGCUUGUGUGUAGAGUUUUGACACAAUGAGACAAAUUCCG